CACGUAGGGUACGAGCGUUGUCCGGAAUUAUUGGGCGUAAAGGGCUCGUAGGCGGUCUGUCGCGUCGGGAGUGAAAACUCAGGGCUUAACCCUGAGCCUGCUUCCGAUACGGGCAGACUAGAGGUAUGCAGGGGAGAACGGAAUUCCUGGUGUAGCGGUGAAAUGCGCAGAUAUCAGGAGGAACACCGGUGGCGAAGGCGGUUCUCUGGGCAUUACCUGACGCUGAGGAGCGAAAGUGUGGGGAGCGAACAGG
rnacentral:rRNA from 1 species